rnacentral:rRNA from 1 species
GAUGAACGCUGGCGGCGUGCCUAAUACAUGCAAGUCGAGCGAACAGAUGAGGAGCUUGCUCCUCUGACGUUAGCGGCGGACGGGUGAGUAACACGUGGAUAACCUACCUAUAAGACUGGGAUAACUUCGGGAAACCGGAGCUAAUACCGGAUAAUAUAUUGAACCGCAUGGUUCAAUAGUGAAAGACGGUUUUGCUGUCACUUAUAGAUGGAUCCGCGCCGCAUUAGCUAGUUGGUAAGGUAACGGCUUACCAAGGCGACGAUGCGUAGCCGACCUGAGUGGGUGAUCGGCCGCACUGGAACUGAGACACGGUCCAGACUCCUACGGGAGGCAGCAGUAGGGAAUCUUCCGCAAUGGGCGAAAGCCUGACGGAGCAACGCCGCGUGAGUGAUGAAGGUCUUCGGAUCGUAAAACUCUGUUAUUAGGGAAGAACAAAUGUGUAAGUAACUAUGCACGUCUUGACGGUACCUAAUCAGAAAGCCACGGCUAACUACGUG